AGAGUUUGAUCCUGGCUCAGAUUGAACGCUGGCGGCAUGCUUUACACAUGCAAGUCGAACGGUAACAGGGAGCUUGCUCCGCUGACGAGUGGCGAACGGGUGAGUAAUAUAUCGGAACGUGCCCAAGAGUGGGGGAUAACGUAGCGAAAGUUACGCUAAUACCGCAUACGAUCUAUGGAUGAAAGUGGGGGAUCGCAAGACCUCAUGCUCCUGGAGCGGCCGAUAUCUGAUUAGCUAGUUGGUGAGGUAAAGGCUCACCAAGGCGACGAUCAGUAGCUGGUCUGAGAGGACGACCAGCCACACUGGAACUGGGACACGGUCCAGACUCCUACGGGAGGCAGCAGUGGGGAAUUUUGGACAAUGGGGGCAACCCUGAUCCAGCAAUGCCGCGUGAGUGGAGAAGGCCUUCGGGUUGUAAAGCUCUUUUGUCAGGGAAGAAAAGGGUACGGCUAA
rnacentral:rRNA from 1 species